rnacentral:rRNA from 1 species
GGGGAAUAUUGGGCAAUGGGCGAAAGCCUGACCCAGCAACGCCGCGUGAAGGAAGAAGGCUUUCGGGUUGUAAACUUCUUUUAUCAGGGACGAAGGAUGUGACGGUACCUGAUGAAUAAGCCACGGCUAACUACGUGCCAGCAGCCGCGGUAAUACGUAGGUGGCAAGCGUUGUCCGGAUUUACUGGGUGUAAAGGGCGCGUAGGCGGAGAGACAAGUCAGAUGUGAAAUCUAUGGGCUUAACCCAUAAACUGCAUUUGAAACUAUCUCCCUUGAGUGAUGGAGAGGCAAGCGGAAUUCCUAGUGUAGCGGUGAAAUGCGUAGAUAUUAGGAGGAACACCAGUGGCGAAGGCGGCUUGCUGGGCUUUUACUGACGCUGAGGCUCGAAAGCGUGGGGAGCAAACAGGAUUAGAUACCCUGGUAGUCCACGCCGUAAACGAUGAUUACUAGGUGUGGGGGGAUUGACCCCUUCCGUGCCGGAGUAAACACAAUAAGUAAUCCACCUGGGGAGUACGACCGCAAGGUUGAAACUCAAAGGAAUUGACGGGGGCCCGCACAAGCAGUGGAGUAUGUGGUUUAAUUCGACGCAACGCGAAGAACCUUACCAGGUCUUGACAUCAAGUGACCGCCUAAGAGAUUAGGUUUUCCCUUCGGGGACACAAAGACAGGUGGUGCAUGGUUGUCGUCAGCUCGUGUCGUGAGAUGUUGGGUUAAGUCCCGCAACGAGCGCAACCCUUAUCAUUAGUUGCUACGCAAGAGCACUCUAAUGAGACUGCCGUUGACAAAACGGAGGAAGGUGGGGAUGACGUCAAAUCAUCAUGCCCUUUAUGACCUGGGCUACACACGUACUACAAUGGCGUUUAACAAAGAGAAGCAAAGCCGCGAGGCAGAGCAAAUCUCCAAAAAACGUCUCAGUUCGGAUUGUAGGCUGCAACUCGCCUACAUGAAGUCGGAAUUGCUAGUAAUCGUAGGUCAGCAUACUACGGUGAAUACGUUCCCG